rnacentral:rRNA from 1 species
UCGGAUGUGCCCAGAUGGGAUUAGCUAGUAGGCGGGGUAAUGGCCCACCUAGGCGACGAUCCCUAGCUGGUCUGAGAGGAUGACCAGCCACACUGGAACUGAGACACGGUCCAGACUCCUACGGGAGGCAGCAGUGGGGAAUAUUGCACAAUGGGCGCAAGCCUGAUGCAGCCAUGCCGCGUGUAUGAAGAAGGCCUUCGGGUUGUAAAGUACUUUCAGCGAGGAGGAAGGCGUUGUGGUUAAUAACCGCAGCGAUUGACGUUACUCGCAGAAGAAGCACCGGCUAACUCCGUGCCAGCAGCCGCGGUAAUACGGAGGGUGCAAGCGUUAAUCGGAAUUACUGGGCGUAAAGCGCUCGCAGGCGGUCUGUCAAGUCGGAUGUGAAAUCCCCGGGCUCAACCUGGGAACUGCAUUCGAAACUGGCAGGCUAGAGUCUUGUAGAGGGGGGUAGAAAUCCAGGUGUAGCGGUGAAAUGCGUAGAGAUCUGGAGGAAUACCGGUGGCGAAGGCGGCCCCCUGGAUAGAGACUGACGCUCAGGUGCGAAAGCGUGGGGAGCAACAGGAUUAGAUACCCUGGUAGUCCACGCCGUAGACGAUGUCGACUUGGAGGUUGUGCCCUUGAGGCGUGGCUUCCGGAGCUAACGCGUUAAGUCGACCGCCUGGGGAGUACGGCCGCAAGGUUAAAACUCAAAUGAAUUGACGGGGGCCCGCACAAGCGGUGGAGCAUGUGGUUUAAUUCGAUGCAACGCGAGGAACCUUACCUACUCUUGACAUCCAGAGAACUUAGCAGAGAUGCUUUGG